rnacentral:rRNA from 1 species
UGGGGAAUAUUGGACAAUGGGCGAAAGCCUGAUCCAGCCAUGCCGCGUGUGUGAAGAAGGUCUUCGGAUUGUAAAGCACUUUAAGUUGGGAGGAAGGGCAUUAACCUAAUACGUUAGUGUUUUGACGUUACCGACAGAAUAAGAACCGGCAAACUCUGUGCCAGCAGCCGCGGGAAUACAGAGGAUGCAAGCGUUAAUCGGAAUUACUGGGCGUAAAGCGCGCGUAGGUGGUUUGUUAAGUUGGAUGUGAAAUCCCCGGGCUCAACCUGGGAACUGCAUUCAAAACUGACUGACUAGAGUAUGGUAGAGGGUGGUGGAAUUUCCUGUGUAGCGGUGAAAUGCGUAGAUAUAGGAAGGAACACCAGUGGCGAAGGCGACCACCUGGACUAAUACUGACACUGAGGUGCGAAAGCGUGGGGAGCAAACA